UCUUGCCAAACAUCUCACCAUAGAUGUCGUCGCCAAGAUUGAAGAGAUUCGUCUCAAAACAUCAAUAUCUCGACGUUCACUAAUGCCACAUAACCACCACCAUGAUCUCACCGUCGCUCAAGACCUAGAAGAUCAAAAGAUUAGAAGGAUGAGACGUGCCUUGGAUUCAUCUGACGUUGAGCUAGUGAAGCUAAUGGUUAUGGGAGAAGGACUCAAUCUUGAUGAGUCUUUGGCCUUGCAUUACGCUGUUGAAAGCUGUAGUAGAGAAGUUGUGAAGGCUUUGCUUGAACUUGGUGCAGCCGAUGUGAACUACCCGGCAGGUCCCGCGGGGAAAACACCGUUACACAUUGCUGCUGAAAUGGUCUCUCCCGACAUGGUGGCUGUUCUGUUGGACCACCAUGCUGAUCCUAAUGUUCGGACCGUUGGUGGAAUCACUCCUCUUGAUAUCCUUAGGACGUUGACUUCAGAUUUCUUGUUCAAGGGGGCAGUUCCUGGAUUGACUCACAUUGAACCGAACAAGCUUAGGCUUUGUCUCGAGCUUGUUCAGUCCGCUGCAAUGGUGAUAUCUCGAGAAGAAGGAAACAAUAGCAACAAUAAUAAUAAUGAUUACAACAACCCGAGUUACCCUCAGAUGAAUGAGGAGCACAACAGUGGAAGUAGUGGAGGAAGUAAUAACAAUUUGGAUUCAAGGUUGGUGUAUCUCAAUCUUGGAGCGGGUACGGGUCAGAUGGGUCAGGGUCGGGAUCAUGGAGACGACCAAAACAGUCAGAGGGAAGGUAUGAGUCGUCAUCAUCAUCAUGACCCCUCUACAAUGUAUCAUCACCAUCAUCAACAUCACUUCUAGUGCUCUAUUUUGGUCUCUAUAUGUUGGCCAUUAAGACUCGCAAUAUAUAUUUAUUAAUUUAGUUCUUGUAUCUUCUAUAUAUUUUUGUAUAUGGAAAUGAAGACAUAAGGAGAGUAUGAAGAAGAGUGACAUGGAUGAAUUUAAGAUCAUGUGUUAUAAUCAAAAGACUUAGGUUUAUUAAUCUUAGUUCUCUCUAGAGUUGUAUUGUUUAGUCAUUGAUUAAUUUGCCAUUAAUUAGUAUUUUUCUAUCAUAAUCUUUCGCUAUUUCAAGCCUUUUUGUGUAUGCAUACUAAAAUAUUGUUUAGGAAGCACAAAUAAUAUUUACUCAUUAACAUAGAUACUACAAAUUAGAUAUUCAGUCCAGUUAAAAAUUGUCAAAAAUGUUAACAUAUGACAAUAAUAAGAAUUUCGUAUUAUUUUGUUUUAUACUGGAUUCGAGACUGUCUUUUAAUUGGAGUUUUUGUAUGUAUUUGCAUCAGCAAUGUCUUAUUGGGUAUAUAAAUAUAACUAUAUUGUAUAUACACAACAAAAUAUGCCAUUAUUUUAGUUCUUUUCGUCCUUCGAAAUGUUUCUCUAAUUUUUAAAUAUUUUGUUGUGUGGCUGACUACACAUCGCCGUAUGAGAUAGUAUGUAAUUCUACAUGGAAUAUCCCUUGUAUCUAUCACUUCUUUAUUUUUGGGCACUUGUUGAUCAUAAAACAAAUAUAUAUGAGAAAGUAAUUUGUACCAUUAUAACAUAAUUGUUGAUAAAGCUAUCUUCCAGUUCUUAUUAUUAUCCACCAAAUCAAAUUAAUUAAAUCAAUCAAAUUGUUAGAAUACAACAAAUUAAUAUAUAAUUUUAUUUUAAAUUAAAUUAUUUAAAAAGUGUAUUUUCAUUAAAAACAAAAUAAUAAAUAAGUAAAACUUAUUUGAUGGUAAUUUUUAUGACAUAUAUAUAUUAUGUGAAAGAAAUAUAAGCUUAAUAUGAAAAAAAUCUUAAAUACAAAAAAAAUCUAGAAUUAACAAAAAAAACUAAUAAAAAUUAAACUAUGAUAUCAAUUGAAAGCUUCUUAGACAAUAUUAAUAAAAUAUUUAAGCGAUAAUUAGACAAAUUUUUUUUUUUGCCAGCCAAAAGUUUAUUAUUAAUUAGCAUUAGUUAUUUCAAGAUGUUUAAGAAAUGAUGGACUUAAAUGAUGGAUAUAUGAACUAUGAAUAGUAGUACUUUGUAAAGCUGACUUAGAUAACAGAUCUGCACAUCGUUUCCAGUCCUUUUUGAUGCAUAAAUUUAAUUUCUUCAGAGCAGUUAUUCCACAAAGAGAUCGUAUAAGAUAUUGUUUUGAUAUUCAGAUUUGUUUCUUGACUGGUAAGAAGAUUGAUAAUUGUAAAAAUGUCUCCUUUGAAUAUUAUAUGUCUAUAACCGAAUCUCCAACAUGAGACAACUUUGUUUAAAAAGUAAAAAAUUUCAUUUUCUUAUAUUAUAUAAUAAAUAUAUAUUAUUUACUGAUAAUAAAAAUAUAGUUAUUCAUCUAUCACAAAUAUCUAUGCAAAUAUGUGAAUCAAGUACAACAAUCAAACAACAUAAUGAUUUCCAAAAAGAAAAUUUAAAUCAUAUAUUUAUGUUAUGUAGUCAUAUUUUAUAUUCUUUAAAUAAUGUAAUACAAUAUUAUACAUUAUUUUUUAGAAUUGAGAAAUACAUAUAAUAUCUUAUCCGCGCGUAGCGCGGUUAAAAAAUCUAGUAAUUUUAAUUGGUACAACUUGUAAAAUACAGGAUUCUCAACUGGUGAAUAUAUAUGAGUUCGGACUUCGGACCACGACUGCACCAUUAUCAGAGCCACGUCUUGCCUUCUGUGGUUGGACGUUUCAUAUUAAUUCGUUUUCCACCUGAUUGAUUUGAUUCAUGAUAUUUCACACGAACAAUAAAUAGCCAGCCUUCUUUUACUUCUACGAUUACUAGUAGUAGUAUUUUCAUUAGAGUACCGUGCGUAGUGCGUACACAACCGGUAAAACAAAAAAACAAUAAUAGUUUCUUCAUAAUUUUUCUUGCCAAGUUAAUUAUUUGCUCUGAGGAUAUGACAAAAGGUGUUGCUAAUCGGAUGGUGAAAUUUAGGGUGGUUAUGUUAAUUGUACAUUUUAAAAUAUAUUCAUAUAUGAUGAUAUAAUUUUCGAAAAUACUAAUAUUUCAAUUACAAAAAUACUAAUAUUUAAGACAAAAUAAUAAUACAAACAAAAAAUAUCACAGAUUUAGUAAAUUAGUAAAAAAAUUACAGUUACAAAAAUAAUCCAUUACAUAAUUUUAUUAUAGAUUGUUGAAUAGUAUGAAAUUAUAUUUAAUCAAAAGAGUGUUUUACAUCAAAAACGGUUUUUAGAAGUUGAUUAAAGAUCAAAAGAAUUAUAAAUGAAAGAUGAUGCUAACAAUUUUGUUCUAGUGUCCAACAAAACCGAGAGACCAUAAUUCUACCAAUCUAAUAAAUGCGAUAAAUUGUUCCUUUUUUUUUGUUACACGAAUUGUUCAAAAAUGGCUUUUCCAUAGAGAUCAUUCUCAUUUUACAUAAUAAGAAAAUAAAAACGUAGAGAGGGAAAGUGAGGAUUGGUCCAACGGUCAAACAGAAAACCAUCGAAUCAGAUUUCGCUACAGUUAGAAAAUUUAUUUCCUUCUGUUUUUUUAACUUAAUUAGGUCUAUGUUCUUAUCACUCACCUAGUCACCUUCCUCUCAUUUUUACCAUUUUAUCAUGCACACAUAUUUACAUACACAUACAUGGUAAUGCAUCCAUGGUGUUGCUCAGGCUUUCACAUGUUAUGUAUCAAGCCAAAAAGACAAUUGCUGAGGAUCUUGGUUUUAUUGUAUUAUCCUAUUCUCAAUAUAUACUUCUUGUUUUGGAAAUUUAAAUGUUUUUAAAAAUUUAGUAGGAUUAUGAUUAGUCAGAUGCUAAUGAUGUUUAGUCUAAUAUAUUAUACUAUAUAGUUUCCCGAUUCUUUUCAAUUCCAUUAUUAGAUUUGGCCCACCCUGUAUUCUCUUUUCCUCUUAAUAAUUAUUUUCCUCUUUUGGUAACCAAAUCACUAAAUUUCUGUUUUUCUAUUAACUAAACGCUUUUAUCAAGAUAAAACAGUUAAUAUUCUUUUACCAUCGCAGUUUAAAUAUCUGAGCCGCCCGGUUCAUCCCAUUCAAAUCUCUUAUUUUUUCUCAGGCAAAAAAAUAUCUAAAACCACAAAGAUAAUAAAGAAUCAUUCCCUAUUCUCUCUCUUUCUAUCAGAAGCUAGCAAGAAGCUUCAAAGGAUAAAAGCUUAAGCUUUUCUCCCCGGAAAUAUUAUUUUCUUUUCUCAGAAAGAAAAAAAUAAUCCACUACUUCACCCUCUUGUUAUCCAACAAAAUCAAGGCAACCAUUUUUUCCCCUAAGUCUCUUUGGCUAAACCCUAACUGUAUUUUUUUUUAAAGAGAGUAUAGAAGAAUCAAGAAGAAAAAAGAAUGAGCAGCCUUGAGGAAUCCCUGAGAUCUAUGUCGUUGGAUUUUCUAAACCUUUUAAUUAACGGUCAAGCUUUCUCCGACGUAACUUUCAGCGUAGAAGGUCGUCUAGUCCACGCCCACCGUUGCAUCCUCGCCGCUCGGAGCCUCUUCUUCCGCAAAUUCUUCUGUGGGACCGACCAACCACAGUCCUGCAUAGACCCGACCCGACAUGGGUCAGUACCCGCUAGCCCAACAAGAGGCUCCCAGGCCCCAGCUGGAGUCAUACCAGUGAACUCAGUCGGUUACGAGGUGUUCUUGUUGCUGCUUCAGUUUCUUUAUAGCGGACAAGUCUCCAUCGUGCCGCAGAAACAUGAGCCGAGACCGAACUGUGGCGAAAGAGGAUGUUGGCACACGCAUUGCUCAGCCGCCGUGGAUCUUGCUCUCGACACUCUUGCCGCUUCUCGUUACUUCGGCGUCGAGCAGCUCGCCUUGCUCACUCAGGUCUCUCUCUCUCACUCUCUCUCUCUCUGACUUCAUUUCUCCAUGCACAUCUUAAAGAAGAACAUGUCUCCACCUUUUUAUGUUCUGCUCAUAUUAGAUUUUUUUCUUUGAUGAAUUUUGACUUCUAAUUUUUAUAAUUUCAAAACCCUUUUCCAUUAUAUGUAUAUAUAUGUGUACGCAUAAAUAAUCUUUGUUGUUGUCUUGAUUUCAUGUGUAGAUGGAUUUAUUCUCUUGCAAAUGAACCAUUCUCUUGUUGCAAGAAUAGCAUUUUCCUAAAGUAGAAACUUUGAAGAACUGUAUUUAGUUGGAUCUAUUCACUUCUUUAGUCUUAAUUUCUUAUCCAAUCUAAAUUUUCCAAAUUUGGGGUUUUGAUAAUAAAUCCAUAGAUAACCUACUCCACCAUAGCCAUCUGAAAAAUGCAAAAAAUUAAAUACAAAACAUAACCUAAAAAGGAAAAUUAUAUCCACUUGCUGAAAAAAUGUCGGUUCAUUGGAUUUAACACUAAUCAAUAUAUACUAUUUGUAUUAUUGGCAGAAACAACUAGCAAGCAUGGUGGAGAAAGCCUCCAUCGAAGAUGUAAUGAAAGUGUUAAUAGCAUCAAGGAAGCAAGACAUGCAACAACUAUGGUCGACGUGCUCUCACUUAGUCGCCAAGUCAGGUCUCCCACCGGAGAUUCUUGCCAAACAUCUCACCAUAGAUGUCGUCGCCAAGAUUGAAGAGAUUCGUCUCAAAACAUCAAUAUCUCGACGUUCACUAAUGCCACAUAACCACCACCAUGAUCUCACCGUCGCUCAAGACCUAGAAGAUCAAAAGAUUAGAAGGAUGAGACGUGCCUUGGAUUCAUCUGACGUUGAGCUAGUGAAGCUAAUGGUUAUGGGAGAAGGACUCAAUCUUGAUGAGU
rnacentral:lncRNA from 1 species